rnacentral:ribozyme from 1 species
UCCUCCGUUUUUUUCUUCGACCCACGCCAUGUUCCAAAAGAGACUUGUUAUUGACGGUCGUGGUCACCUUCUCGGUCGCCUCGCCUCCAUUGUCGCCAAGGAGAUCCUCAACGGACAGCACGUCGUUGUUGUGCGCUGUGAGGGCAUCA